GACGAACGCUGGCGGCGUGCUUAACACAUGCAAGUCGAACGGAAAGGCCCUGCUUUUGUGGGGUGCUCGAGUGGCGAACGGGUGAGUAACACGUGAGUAACCUGCCCUUGACUUUGGGAUAACUUCAGGAAACUGGGGCUAAUACCGGAUAGGAGCUCCUGCUGCAUGGUGGGGGUUGGAAAGUUUCGGCGGUUGGGGAUGGACUCGCGGCUUAUCAGCUUGUUGGUGUGGUAGUGGCUUACCAAGGCUUUGACGGGUAGCCGGCCUGAGAGGGUGACCGGCCACAUUGGGACUGAGAUACGGCCCAGACUCCUACGGGAGGCAGCAGUGGGGAAUAUUGCACAAUGGGCGGAAGCCUGAUGCAGCAACGCCGCGUGCGGGAGGACGGCCUUCGGGUGGUAAACCGCUUUCGCCUGUGACGAAGCGUGAGUGACGGUAAUGGGGAAAGAAGCACCGGCUAACUACGU
rnacentral:rRNA from 1 species